CCGAAUGGCCUCUUGGCCUUCAACCUUGCAAACCUGUGGAAGCAAGAUGUGCUUCGGUGCUUCGGCGCCGCUUUUAUGCUUUAACAAGUCUUUUUGUCUGAAUCAAACACAAGAAAUA
rnacentral:misc_RNA from 1 species